ACAGCAGUCGCCGCGGGAAUACGGAGGGUGCAAGCGUUAUCCGGAUUUAUUGGGUUUAAAGGGUCCGUAGGCGGAUCUGUAAGUCAGUGGUGAAAUCUCACAGCUUAACUGUGAAACUGCCAUUGAUACUGCAGGUCUUGAGUAAAUUUGAAGUGGCUGGAAUAAGUAGUGUAGCGGUGAAAUGCAUAGAUAUUACUUAGAACACCAAUUGCGAAGGCAGGUCACUAAGAUUUAACUGACGCUGAUGGACGAAAGCGUGGGGAGCGAACAGGAUUAGAUACCCCUGUAGUCCCUGUCUCUUAUAC
rnacentral:rRNA from 1 species